rnacentral:rRNA from 1 species
AUACGGAGGAUCCGAGCGUUAUCCGGAUUUAUUGGGUUUAAAGGGUGCGCAGGCGGCCAUUUAAGUCAGCGGUUAAAUCGUGGGGCUCAACCCCAUUCUGCCGUUGAUACUGGGUGGCUUGAUUGCGGUCGAGGUUGGCGGAAUUCGUUGUGUAGCGGUGUAAUGCAUAGAUAUGACGAAGAACACCGAUUGCGUAGGCAGCUGACCAGACCGCAAAUGACGCUCAUGCACGAAAGUGCGGGGAUCGAACAGGAUUAGAUACCCUGGUAGUCCGCACAGUAAACGAUGAAUACUUGUUUUCGGCGAUAUAAUGUCGGAGGCAAAGCGAAAGCGAUAAGUAUUCCACCUGGGGAGUACGCCGGCAACGGUGAAACUCAAAUGAAUUGGCGGGG